rnacentral:misc_RNA from 1 species
GUUUAGGGUUAGUUGCUAAGAGAGAUAUAGCUAAAGGGGAGACAGUUCUAGAAGUUCCUAGAAGGUUCUGGAUUAAUCCAGAUGCUGUUGCCGAUACUGAAAUUGGGAAUGUGUGUACUGGAUUGAAACCUUGGAUUUCUGUUGCUCUUUUCUUGCUUAGAGAGAAAUGGAGAGAUGAUUCAAAGUGGAAAUAUUACAUGGCUGUUCUUCCAGAGUCUACUGAUUCCACUAUUUAUUGGUCUGAAG